rnacentral:rRNA from 1 species
AUUGAACGCUGGCGGCAGGCUUAACACAUGCAAGUCGAGCGGAGAUGAGGUGCUUGCACCUUAUCUUAGCGGCGGACGGGUGAGUAAUGCCUAGGAACCUGCCUAUUAGUGGGGGACAACAUUCCGAAAGGAAUGCUAAUACCGCAUACGUCCUACGGGAGAAAGCAGGGGAUCUUCGGACCUUGCGCUAAUAGAUGAGCCUAAGUCGGAUUAGCUAGUUGGUGGGGUAAAGGCCUACCAAGGCGACGAUCUGUAGCGGGUCUGAGAGGAUGAUCCGCCACACUGGGACUGAGACACGGCCCAGACUCCUACGGGAGGCAGCAGUGGGGAAUAUUGGACAAUGGGGGGAACCCUGAUCCAGCCAUGCCGCGUGUGUGAAGAAGGCCUUAUGGUUGUAAAGCACUUUAAGCGAGGAGGAGGCUACUGAGACUAAUACUCUUGGAUAGUGGACGUUACUCGCAGAAUAAGCACCGGCUAACUCUGUGCCAGCCGCCGCAGUAACAC